rnacentral:rRNA from 1 species
CUGGUUGAUCCUGCCAGUAGUCAUAUGCUUGUCUCAAAGAUUAAGCCAUGCAUGUCUAAGUACAAGCCUCAUUAAGGUGAAACCGCGAAUGGCUCAUUAAAUCACACCUAAUCUACUGGAAUGUUAGCAGUUACUUGGAUAACUGAGGUAAUUCUUGAGCUAAUACAUGCGAAAAAUCUCGACUCACGAAGAGAUGCUUUUAUUAGAUCAAAACCAAUCGGAGCAAUCCGUAACAAUUGGUGACUCUGAAUAACUUUGGGCUGAUAGUAUUGCCUUGCGCAGACUACGUUUCCUUCGAAGGUGUGCCCUAUCAACUUUCGACUGUGAUAUAGACGCUCACAGUGGUUUUGACGGGUAACGGGGAAUCAGGGUUCGAUUCCGGAGAGGGAGCCUUAAAAACGGCUACCACAUCCAAGGAAGGCAGCAGGCACGCAAAUUACCCAAUGGUCGAAGACCGAGGUAGUGACGAAAAAUAACAAUACUGGACUCUUCCGAGGCCCAGUAAUUGGAAUGAGUACACUUUAAAACCGUUCCCGAGGAUCUAUUGGAGGGCAAGUCUGGU